rnacentral:rRNA from 1 species
AUUGAACGCUGGCGGCAGGCUUUACACAUGCAAGUCGAACGAGUGGCGGACGGGUGAGUAAUGUCUCGGAAACUGCCUGAUGGAGGGGGAUAACUACUGGAAACGAUAGCUAAUACCGCAUACCAUCGGAUGUGCCCAGGUGGGAUUAGCUAGUAGGUGGGGUAACGGCUCACCUAGGCGACGAUCCGUAGCGGGUCUGAGAGGAUGACCAGCCACACUGGGACUGAGACACGGCCCAGACUCCUACGGGAGGCAGCAGUGGGGAAUAUUGGACAAUGGGCGCAAGCCUGAUGCAGCCAUGCCGCGUGUCUGAAGAAGGCCUUCGGGUUGUAAAGUACUUUCGGCGGGGAGGCGGUACCUGAAGAAGAAGCACCGGCUAACUACGUGCCAGCAGCCGCGGUAAUAC